CAUUUCCCAGCAGCCCCUGCAGCGCGUGGUGACGUGGCGGCGGGGGCGCGGCGGCGGCGCCUGAGGCGGGGGGCGCCGGUGGUAGUGAUUCCUGAGAGGCGUGCGGUGUGGAGUCGCCCCUGCCACCUGGGCGUCUGCGUACUUGAGGCCAAGAACUACUCGAGAAGAAAGCGUUCUGGAGGAUUCAGGAAAGGAAAGAAAGGAUGUCUCUUUCUCUGACAGAAGAGAGUCUUACAGAGGGGUAUGCCAGCCACACGUAGCCCUCUGCUUCUUGUCUUUAAUGAGCUGAGAGGACCUCCUGCCCUCUAGCCCAAGAGGAGAAGGCCCAUACAGUCACACAUGCCAGCUCUUCCCGGGCACUGACUCACGGAGCCUUUGACCCAAGGCACGAGAAGUGUCACCAUGCAGGUGGGGCAAAUGGAAGAGUCAGCUUUAAAUCGGAGUUCGUCAGCAACUAUAUUGCAUAUGCAAAGAGUAAGUGUUCCAAUCAAAAGGCAGAGACCGACAACCUGGGUACAAAAACAAUCAUGUUGUUUGAAGAAAACAACUCCUAUUUAAGGAUAUAUAAGGACACCGACAAGUUAAUCAUAAAAAAAUGGGAAAACUUUAUGUUGUGUUAGUCUGCUAAGAUUGGGCUGCUAUUACUAAACCAGAUGGCUUACAGACGGCAGAAAUUAAAAAAUAAACAGCAGAAACUUAUUUCUCACGGGCUGGAGGCUGGACAGGAGGAUGUUGGUGUUCCCAACCGGCAGGCACAGGCACACUUGCAAAUGGUUUCAUUUUCUUGAACCUCCUACAUAAAAUGUACCCUUACCUACAACUGUGAGCCUAUCGUAUUUCGUAUCGUUGUGCAACUAGGCAGACAGGCAGAACUUCAUGUCCUCAGAUGACCAAGGAUCAGGCUCCUGUUUCCCCUAGACUUAUGUUUUACUUCUCCAGUCACUACUGGAAAUUCCUGCUGUUGACUGUGAUGUAAUACGCAUGUGUAGGGCGCCUGGGUGGCUCGGAGAGUGUCUGCCUUCAGCUCAGGUCAUGAUCCCAGGGUCCUGGGAUCGAGCCCCGCGUCGGGCUCCCUGCUUAGUGGUG